AGCAGUAGCCGCGGGAAUACGAAGGGGGCUAGCGUUGUUCGGAUUUACUGGGCGUAAAGGGCGCGUAGGCGGACUGAUAAGUCAGGGGUGAAAUCCCAAGGCUCAACCUGGGGGCUGCGCUUGAUACUGGGUUGCUUGAGUGGGGAAGAGGGUCGUGGAAUUCCCAGUGUAGAGGUGAAAUUCGUAGAUAUUGGGAAGAACACCGGUGGCGAAGGCGGCGACCUGGUCCUUUACUGACGCUGAGGCGCGAAAGCCAGGGGAGCGAACGGGAUUAGAUACCCCAGUAGUCCCUGUCUCUUAUAC
rnacentral:rRNA from 1 species